rnacentral:hammerhead_ribozyme from 1 species
AUCCAGCUGAAGAGUCCCGAACAGGACGAAACGCGCGUUCUGGAU